UCCGUAGGCGGGCAAUUAAGUCAGAGGUGAAAUCCCACAGCUCAACUGUGGAACUGCCUUUGAUACUGGUUGUCUUGAGUUAUAGUGAAGCAGAUAGAAUAUGUAGUGUAGCGGUGAAAUGCAUAGAUAUUACAUAGAAUACCGAUUGCGAAGGCAGUCUACUAACUGUAUACUGACGCUAAUGGACGAAAGCGUGGGGAGCGAACAGGAUUAGAUACCCUGGUAGUCC
rnacentral:rRNA from 1 species